GUGGACACAGUGCAGAGCCUCCAAAAAAGCACAUAGCUGACAGAGAGAAAACCUGACACUGUUGAUAUUAAUGAUACAAUUGCUGUCAGCUUGGCAUCUCCAAAUACACCUGCAAAGAGUGAGAGACCAGAAUGUAGAAGUCAACAGAACAGAAGCUUUAAUUUUCACUUCAUUGUACAUGCCAUGGCAGGCCUUUCUUCUGAGCUUGAGGAUGUUGUUCAAAAUACUGGUAGCCUAUCGGAUGAAGUGGAUUUACGUCAACCUGCCUUCAGAAACAGGGCUAUUGUAUUUAAAUAUGUAUUAAUAUUUUAACUUUUAACUCCUAUAACAAGGAUUCUAGUUACAAUGUAGAAGUGUUUCACACAGAGCAGAAUCAAACAAUAGUGUAGUUUCCUGUUCUUCACACACCCAAGCCCACACCACAUCUGCCUGAGGCUAUAGUCAGAUGUCACUUAGUUUCACUUCUCAGUAAAAGAAAGCAAUGCUACAGUAGGGGGAUCAAUGGCAGAGAGAGUUUGAAGACGCUUGUUCAGAAACUACACAAACAAACUUCAUCCUGCAGUAAUUCAGGGGACCCAGGAAAAUGCUUCCACCCGUGUUAGUCGUGCUCACGCUCAUCUCUUUAACCUGUGCACAAAAUCCUGCAAUACAAGUCAUCCUGACUAACAAAGGACUCCAGUACGGAAAACAUGUAGGUGCAGGAUGGAUUCAGGAGAAGUUGGACGUUGUCAGUCUCCCUGACAUCAGCGGGGAAUUCGGCAUUGGCAUCCUUGGCAGCGUAGACUACACGCUGACAGGCACCACCAUAACAAAGUGUGACUUUCCGGAGCCAUCUGUUCAGUUCUAUCAGAACACCACAGGAUUCAAGACGUCCAUCCCAGGCCUCAGUAUUGCACUUAGUGGCAGUUGGAUGACACACUAUGGCAUAAUACAUGACGGAGGAUCAUUCGACAUGGCUAUAUUUAAUAUGGAUGUGACCUCUGUGGUGGAGCUGGGCAAAGACCCUGACGGCCAUCUGUCUGUCACCAGUGUUAGCUGUGAUGCUCAGGUUGGAGAUGUGAACAUACAGUUUCACGGUGGAGCCAGUUGGCUCUUCCAGCCUUUAGUGGAGCAUUUCAAGGGGCGUAUCAAGGAUAAAAUACAGGGCAAUAUCUGCCCUUGGGUGGAGGAAUAUAUUUCAAGCUUGGAGUACCAUCUACAGGCCAUGACAGUUUCCUUUGAUGUGGAUGACAUCUUUGCUUUUGACCUUCCUCUCACUGGCACACCCAUCAUUGAUGCUUCAAGUAUGAAUCUGGGUCUUAAGGGAGAGUUCUACAACAUCAGAACUCAUGCAGAGCCUCCAUUUAAGGCCCAGCCUUUCACUGUGCCUCAGCCACCAGGCUACAUGUUGUCAGUGGGCCUGUCUGACUUCACUCUGAACUCUGCCUCAUAUGGACUCUACUCAGCUGGACUGCUUCAGGCCCUCAUCAAUGACAGCAUGAUACCUCCAUACAUCCCCUUGCACCUAAAUACCAGCGCAAUGGGGCCUUUCAUUCCUGAGCUUCCCAAAAUGUUUCCAGGUCUGCUGAUGAAUCUGCAGAUUUAUGCCAGAGAGGUGCCGAUGUUUUCCUUCCAGCCUGGUGUUGUUAAACUGGGCUUUCAGGCUGCUCUUAAGGCUUCCGCCAUCCAGCCAAAUGGUACCCAGAUCCCACUGUUCAAACUCAAUGCUGACUUUAAAUUCAGUGGUAAAGUGUUGAUUGCUGAUGGAACACUAAAGGGCUCCAUGGCACAGGACAAUUUCACACUGACGCUGGUGUCGAGUGAAGUGGGAACCGUUAAGAUCGAUUCCUUGGAAGAGGUGACGAUGAUGGGAAUGAAGAUAGUCUUGGCAAAAGUGAACGUGGAACUUGGCAAAGGUGUUGUUUUACCCAGAACGAGACACACAGAGCUGGUCAACACAGUUCUGGAGGUGGAUGAGGGCUUUAUAGCCGUCUCCUCAGAUGCUCAGGUGUUGCUAACAGACAGAGGCUUCAACUGACAGACAAACAUGGACGCUCUUCAUCUCAGUUCAGAUUCUUCAGCUUUAAACCAGUAAACAAACUGGAUUUGUCUACAUCUGACACCACAUGACAAAGGCACUACUGUGUUUAAGAGCAUGCCGUGUGCCACUGUGCCAUUGCUUGUACUACCACCAGAGGGCACUAAAUUAAAAAUAUAUAUGUCCAUAACAUCAUCUCUAGAAAUGUGCUUAAUAAUGGAGGGUGCAAGGAUUUAACAUUUUCCUGAAGAACCAAUGUACAGUUUUUCUCCACUGCAUAUUCACAAAAAAUGAAACUAUGCACAUAAUUCUGGGAACUUGAAGAUCUUGUAUCAACAACAGGACUUCAGACUGCUAAACUCUAAGCACUAUUCUAUUGUUUUUCACUCCAGAAGAUAUUGUAUGUCACGCUUCUGCAAAAACUCUAACACAUACAGCAUAAUUCAGCACGCCUUGUUCGGCCGGAGAACGCUGGCCUUAAAAUGCCACGUCCUAAUUACCAAUAGGUCUCACUCACAUCUCACCUGUUCAAAGUCAACUGGCGAAACAAUCCUUUGAGAGAGAACAAGAAGAAGGCGGCCUUGUUACUUUUAAUUUGUGCCCUGAUUUCGCCCUUACAGCUCCAGGGGACAGUCUUACAGUCGUAUUCUGUCACUGUAAUGUUUCUCAUUUUACUUAUUAUUGCAGUUCUUUUAAGUUUUGCCAAAGUAGGUAACAUUUGCGUAAUCUCAGAACCUAACAAUGUUGCAUUGUCAACUUUUAUAGUGUGAAUCUGUGAA